AUAUUGUUUUAUAAUGUUACCAAAUAUGUUAGAUUCUAUUACAAAUUGCUUUGGAGUGGGAGUAUCUACUAAAGCAAUUUUAGCUUUUGUUGUUAAGCUGGUCAUUGGAUCGAUCAAGCGACGAGAUCGACAAGUAGUUCAUGCUUAUUUAAAAAAUCUGCUCCAAUGAUUGGGCGAUUGACCGAUGCUAUUGUAAAAGUGUGGUUAAAUACUCUCCGAAGUCCAAGGCUUACUUGAAGUAGCUUUGUACCAUAUGUUGUGAUGGCACUACCAUUCCACUAGGGUAGUCCGUCAAUACCGUCGAGUUUAUUAGUUUUUUUAUGUUGAUGGAUUCUGUGAUGCCAAUUUAAUUUACGCCUGUGAAUUUACACGGUGGGAUGCAAUUGUUUGCCGCUGCUCCGUAUCGGAAAUGAUACCAACAAUUUUCAUAUUUUCUCGCGUUCGACGGUGUCCGCGAUCGGCUGCCGCCUUGUCCCCGGUUGCGACUGCGCUGUCGUCCUCGUGUAUUAUUUUGUGAAGCAAGUGUCAAAUUUUUUACCAUCUCCCUUAAUUCCCCGAUUUCUUUACGAAGCAGUUCAUUCUCGCUUGGGCCAUUGUGUUGUUGUUGUUUAUGAUCAUUUCUGUUGACUGAAAAAAUACUACCCAAUUGUGUGACCUCCCAAAGUCUGUCUGCAAUUCGGAGAAGUUCGUUUACGUCACGCGUGUCAAUUGCGAUUAACGAUACUUCUAUUGUUUUAGGAAGCCGUGCAAGCCAAAGUUUUCGUACGAGUUCUAAAGAAAGGUUUUCAGAAUUGCCAGCAAGUUGGACCAUGUAUCUGUAAAAGUCGGAUGGACUUCUGUCCCCUAUUUCAACGUGGUAAAGCAAUUGUGAUAAUCUUUGUUCCUCACUGAUUGUGAGGCGUUCUAUUAGCUGUUUUUUUUAGCGUUGUGUAGGGCAGAUCUUCCGCGGGUUUUGUUAUUAAAUCCAUGACCUUUAGAAGAAUUUCCUUUGGAAGUGUGCUGACCAAAUACGAAUACCGAGUUCUUUCUUGUGUAAUUCCGGCUAUCUCAAAUUCAGCCUCGGCUGCAGCAAACCAGGCAGCCGGGGAAUCAUCCCAAAAGCAUGGAAGUUUUGCGGAAACCUUUUCUAUGGAGCGAGGGGGAUUUUUGGUGUUGUAGCUGGAAUCUCGAUGGGCUCUGAGCUCUUCAUCGGCGUACGGGAUAAUGUUUGUUCUGGUUGAAACAUUUUUCUUUGUAAUCAGGCUAUUGUUACUAAACGUAUGUUCGAUCUGAACCUAUACUCCGAAUUUCCAAACGAAAUUGAACGCAAAACGAAACAAAGAAGAAAAAAUAACGAUAACACUGGAACGCGCUCACCGAUUUUGCCUGUUGACGUCGAUUCGCUGAAUUCUGUUCUUCAUCAAAGAACACUCGCAGAAGACAAUGGAUCAACGCUGGCGCGUGCCGAUGAGUCGAUGCUGCUGCGGAGAGGGGGUGCGAGGGGGCCGCACGGGAACACGGCUUCCGAUGCGCUGCUGCGUGCGCCACGGGAAGAAUACUGCGAUGAUUGUCUCCUUCUCUCUCACUCGUUCUGUCGUUGAUGUUGUCACCCGUAAGGUUUGAUUCGGUGGUUGCAAUUUUUUGCAGUAUGUUGUCCGUGAAAAAUCUCGACACCCGAUGGAUACUUGGGUGGAAAAGGGACAUUGAUGGGAAACACUGUUGCUUUUCUACACUUUUGCUGUAUUAUGAUCGGGGUGCAAAAGUGUCUUCACAGGUAAAAUCAGUUAAAUGAUUUUUUUUAAAGAACCGCUCUCUGAUGAACUCAUGUCACUGCACUCACUAUGUAACAUUGAGUAGAGCUACACGUGAACGAUUUGUGACAACGUUUGAAUAGAUGUAACGUCACACGCAUACACACACAAUAACAGUAAAUCCGCUACGCACUCUACCACGCACAGCUUUGCGCAUCGAUUCUGAAAACUCACGAACGAUUGCGGCGCGUUAUAUUCUGCACCGUUGCGUUUGUGCACUCACGGGUAGACGUUAUGCGCACGGUGGCUGUUCGGAUGACCGUUGUAGCGAGAUCCUUUCUUCUAAUGGUUUGCAGACAGUUAGUGUGGAUCUUUGAAUGGACACUGGCACAAGCAAUAGACACUGCACAAAAGUAGCUUGCCGAACUCACGUGAUAGUCAAACCAUUCUAGUUUGCUAUCUUUCGGCGUUUCGCACUAGUGCACUUGAAUGUCACUGGAGUCAAACAAAAACGUAAUGUAUGUGCUCCGUUAUACUCGACCGUUUUAUCACUUGCGCACUGAAAUUUCGCCGAACUCAGAACGUUUGUGUCGAGCUCCAGGCGAUCACGUCGGGGUCACCAACCCGCUUGGCAAAGAGUAACUCAUUUUGAUGCCUCUCGCUACCCCUGGCCUUAGUUUUAAACGAAUCAUGCGACACACUCGCACUCCACUACCCCAUCCCAUGGAAAAACGCUCCCACCAUCGAGGUGUUGACCAAAAUUUCGCUAUGUGCAUGAGACACACACUCGCACUCCUCCAGCCCUCCACAGCUGAACGCUCCCACCGUUGCGAAGUUUGCGAGAAUUUUUGCUCUGAGCGUGAGAUCCUGAAGCACCAGAGAUGACACUAUGUGUAAAGACGAUCAUAAUUCGGUAUGGUCAAAAUGCGUCGAUUGUCGUUUCAUUUAUCUGGUAAUGAUGUAUUCACUUCAUCAAAAUUUUAAACGUUCACAACUAGACUGAUAACAAUAUUUGAAUUUUUAAUCAGAAUAAAACCAAUUCAUUUGAAGCAAAAUAAAUUCCAUUAUACUUUAUUUUGACCAUAUGAUCAACACUUGUACAUAGUGCCAUUUACUUUGUGUUCUUCACUCUCGCGCUGUGUUUUGAUCGUUCGAAACUCAUUGCCAGAACGAAUGCAAAUUUCAUAUGGGAAUGAUCGGUGCCGGAAGAGGCAGCGAAAAUUAUGAAAUGAUAAUAGAAAAGUGGUUAAGUUAAUCGUGAAAGAUGUCAACGCAGACGUAAAUGUAGUAUGUUUUGUUACAUGAUCUACGGCUAUUUCAUUACCAAAGCUCCUGAUAACAGAUCAAAGCAGAUAGAUCGGGCAUACAGAGUCGCCGUUUAAUUUAAAAUAUCUGCGUGAUCGGUAAGUUUUAAAUAGUACUAGUUUUGUUCACCAUUCUAAUGCUCGAUUUAUCUUUCAUUCCUCAAGCAAACGCAUCAAACAGCAAGUGUUUUUCCUUCCAACAGCACGCACCAUCGGUGGUGCAGCAGCUAACGUUUUGUUCGCCUAGCGCGCACCAUCAAGAAUUGAUAUUUUGCCAAACAGUACUGUGAAUAAAAAACUGCACACUUACUGUAGGAA